UACGGAGGGGGCUAGCGUUGUUCGGAAUUACUGGGCGUAAAGCGCACGUAGGCGGAUCAGUUAGUCGGGGGUGAAAUCCCGGGGCUCAACCCCGGAACGGCCUCCGAUACUGCUGGUCUGGAGGAUGGGAGAGGCGAGUGGAAUUCCGAGUGUAGAGGUGAAAUUCGUAGAUAUUCGGAGGAACACCAGUGGCGAAGGCGGCUCGCUGGCCCAUUUCUGACGCUGAGGUGCGAAAGCGUGGGGAGCAAACAGG
rnacentral:rRNA from 1 species